GAAGCAGGACCUUGUGGUCUUGCUAAUAAUGGUAUUGCAACCGUUGUACUAAAGUCCUUCAGGUAAAAUCAAAACCCUGGCCAAGUACCUAAUGCUUCCCAUGACCUGGAUCCUGACAAUACACCAAACCUCACCUUCCUGGCAGAUAAUAAACAUUCAAUAAAUUUUAUGUAAUAGAUGACAUCGAUCAAUACCAAGAGAGGUCUG